GUCGUUCUUGUUUCUAGGUGGCAGUUGGAGGGAAAAGCAAGUUCAAUUAGAAAGACCCAAUCGGCUUAAAAAUAUAUCUUUUUUUUAAAAAACCAACCGAUGACUUCAUGGUCAAGCUGUUUCCUGAAUGAAAGGUUUCUGCUCUCCUUCGGGCUCCUUUGCCCUUCACCGCACUUCUCAUUCCUGCCGGAAAGGGAGCCGACGUUCCAGGCUGCCAAUCACCUGCACCAGCUAACAUCUGCUCUACGGGACGAGUAAUUCUGCACUGCUGCGUAUUUGAUCACUUCCAACCCCAAUCAAGGAGAAGUUGAUGCGACCAUGCCGAGUUUCAGCUACAUACAUGACUUCCGUGAGGACUCACAAUCUGUUAUUCAGCCAUAAUAUGACAUACAAAUGUGACAAAAACAUUUAAUGACGAAAUAAUUAUGCUUUUAUAAUAACAGUGAUCUUUAAAUGGUAACAUCAGAGGUUGUUCUUUGCAAUACAUGCCCCAAGGAACAAGUGAAUUGGGCAAUUUCUUUGGGCCUCCAAACCAACAGGGGGCGCCCAACCGCACUGCAACUUUCCCACAAGUCUGGUUUACACAUCAUUUAUUUUAUUUUCUUUUUUCUUUUUUUGUGUGUGGGGUAAAUCUGUUGUAAUUUUGUAACACAAACCUUGUUAUCCUCUAUAUCAAAAAUUUAGAUCAGUGUAGUAUGAUGGUGAAGAAAAUAUUUUGUACUUAAAUGUUUAAAGGCAGCCCAGCUGUUUCAUACGGACUAACAACUUAAAUCAAUUUGAGUAUUGGGGAAAGCAUUUCGUCUUUGUUUUUUUUUCUUUAAGUUAAGUUAGAUUCUCCUACAUCAUGUCCACCAUCGUUUCAGACAGCAGAUAUUUCUAGCUCUAGAUGUCAAAACAAACGAAUACAAAGAUAUUCUGAUUUUU